ACUCCUACGGGAGGCAGCAGUGGGGAAUAUUGCACAAUGGGCGCAAGCCUGAUGCAGCCAUGCCGCGUGUAUGAAGAAGGCCUUCGGGUUGUAAAGUACUUUCAGCAGUGAGGAAGGUGGAUAUGUUAAUAGGUACUAAUGCAUCUCAUUUUGACUGUUAGCUGCAGAAGAAGCACCGGCUAACUCCGUGCCAGCAGCCGCGGUAAUACGGAGGGUGCGAGCGUUAAUCGGAAUUACUGGGCGUAAAGCGCAUGCAGGUGGUUUUGUUAAGUCAGAUGUGAAAGCCCGGGGCUCAACCUCGGAAUUGCAUUUGAAACUGGCAAACUAGAGUACUGUAGAGGGGGGUAGAAUUUCAGGUGUAGCGGUGAAAUGCGUAGAGAUCUGAAGGAAUACCGGGUGGCGAAGGCGGCCCCCCUGGACGAUACUGACACUCAGAUNCGAAAGCGU
rnacentral:rRNA from 1 species